rnacentral:rRNA from 1 species
CCCUUAGAUGUUCUGGGCCGCACGCGCGCUACACUGACGAAGGCAACGAGCUACUCUUCACCGAAAGGUGUGGGUAAUCUUUUGAAACUUCGUCGUGCUGGGGAUAGAUCCUUGCAAUUUUUGAUCUUAAACGAGGAAUUCCUAGUAAGCGCAAGUCAUCAACUUGCGUUGAUUACGUCCCUGCCCUUUGUACACACCGCCCGUCGCUACUACCGAUUGAAUGGUUUAGUGAGGCCUUCGGAUCCGCGACUCGUUUGUGGAGAAGUUGGACAAACUCAGUCAUUUAGAGGAAGUAAAAGUCGUAACA